rnacentral:rRNA from 1 species
AGCAGCCGCGGUAAUUCCAGCUCCAAUAGCGUAUAUUAAAGUUGUUGCAGUUAAAAAGCUCGUAGUUGAAUUUCGGGGAUCAAUUAAUUGGUCGUGCCUAUGGUACGUACUGAUUUUAUUGGUUUCUCCCUUCUGACGAACCAUGAUGUCAUUAAUUUGGUGUCGUGGAGAAUCAGGACUGUUACUUUGAAAAAAUUAGAGUGUUUAAAGCAGGCUAACGCUUGAAUACAUUAGCAUGGAAUAAUGAAAUAGGACGUUUGAUCCUAUUUUGUUGGUUUCUAGGAUCGACGUAAUGAUUAAUAGGUG